rnacentral:snRNA from 1 species
AUUAAACGAUUUGCAUGUCAGUCUGA